GGAUCAAUUGAUUGGUCAUGCCUACGGUAUGUACUAGUCAUAUUGGUUCUCACCUUCUAAUGAACCUUAAUGUCAUUCACUUGAUGUUUUGGGGAAUUAGGACUUUUACUUUGAAAAAAUUAGAGUGUUUAAAGCAGGCCUACGCUUGAAUACAUUAGCAUGGAAUAAUAGAAUAGGACU
rnacentral:rRNA from 1 species